UACGGAGGGUGCAAGCGUUGUUCGGAUUUACUGGGCGUAAAGCGCGCGCAGGUGGGUGUACAAGUCGGAAGUGAAAUCUCGAGGCUCAACCUUGAGGCUGCUCCCGAAACUGUACGCCUAGGGACUGGUAGAGGCGUGGUAGAAUUCCCGGUGUAGCGGUGGAAUGCGUAGAGAUCGGGAAGAAUACCUGUGGCGAAGGCGGCCAGCUGGGCCAGAUCCGACACUGAGGCGCGAAAGCGUGGGGAGCAAACAGG
rnacentral:rRNA from 1 species